GGGUGGUCGGGCACACUACAUUUUUGCUCAAGACCAGCCUAAAUUCGGCAGCUGAAGUGUACGUGAUUGGUCAACAGCUGUAGGGAUUCUUCAAUAAAUGAAGAGGGCCAGUGUGAUAAGAGCAAUAGGACAGCCCAUUCGACUCCACAGACUGUGUCCUGUAGAGGAAUCCUCUGAGCAUUGUAGGGGCCAGCUGAGGGUGAUUGGGGAUGAGGUGAACAGCAUGUUCUCCAAGGGAAAGGUGGGGUCCACACAGUGGCAGACCUGGAGGGGAGGAAUCAUCACGUGCCUGUUCACUGUCCUCAGUGGCCUUGGAUCUCUCUACCUGCUCCAGUACAGAAACCUCAGGACGCCCUAGAGACCCACUGACCCACGGCGUCACACCGCACUUGACAUUUGACCUUUCUUAAUACAUUUCUAUCCAUUCCUACAGAAUGUUAUAAGGCAUUUAUGAUUUUAUUUAUUUGAUUGUUUAUUGAUUUAGUUGACAUUGCACAAUAUGUCAUAUAGAGUAGAAUAUUUGCACUUUCUGUUCCUUUACUUGACAAUGUAGGCUGACUAUUUUGAGGGGCUAGUUGACAGUGCUUACUGUGGAAAUGGCUUCAACUAGUGGGUUUUGAUGGUGUCUGAAGUUACUUAUUUAAUAGCGCCAAAAUCAUAGAGUGCUGUAGAGAAAUGUGGGCUGUAUCUUCACUCAGGAUUUUGGUAGCUUUAGACACCAUCAAAAUCCACGGGAUUAUACAAUUGUUUAACUCUUUAAUGAUUAAAUAAUUUACUUCAAUCAUACUGUGAUUUCAGUGGAAUAUACAGUCACAUCCAAAAUGAUUUGCACCCUUGAUAUAGAUGAGCAAAAAAGACGGUAUAAAUAAUACAAAAACUGAGCUAUAUUGUGUGCAAAAAGAAAAUAAAAAAUUAUAUUUGU